rnacentral:tRNA from 1 species
GGCUUGCGGCUCAGUGGUAGAGUGCUUGUCUGACAUGUAUGAGGCACUGGGUUUGAUCCUCAGCACCA